AACGAACGCUGGCGGCAGGCUUAACACAUGCAAGUCGAGCGAGAUCUUCGGGUCUAGCGGCGGACGGGUGAGUAACGCGUGGGAACGUGCCCUUUGCUACGGAAUAGCCCCGGGAAACUGGGAGUAAUACCGUAUGUGCCCUUCGGGGGAAAGAUUUAUCGGCAAAGGAUCGGCCCGCGUUGGAUUAGGUAGUUGGUGGGGUAAUGGCCCACCAAGCCGACGAUCCAUAGCUGGUUUGAGAGGAUGACCAGCCACACUGGGACUGAGACACGGCCCAGACUCCUACGGGAGGCAGCAGUGGGGAAUCUUGGACAAUGGGGGCAACCCUGAUCUAGCCAUGCCGCGUGAGUGAUGAAGGCCUUAGGGUUGUAAAGCUCUUUCAGCUGGGAAGAUAAUGACGGUACCAGCAGAAGAAGCCCCGACUAACUCCGUGCCAGCCGCCGCCGUAAAAC
rnacentral:rRNA from 1 species